ACUGGAGUACUUAAACAAUUAGUAAAUAGAAUACGAACAAGAAGGCUGUUAAAUUGACCAGCAGUAGAGCCGUUGGAUGGGCCAUUCAUGCACCCUCGCCACCAUCAUCACCAUCAGGACAGGCGCACCAACACCGUCCAACAGCUGAGCGACCAUCCGCCAUACUACUCUCCGGCCUCUGGAAGUCUCCUCGACUCUCAAAAUGAUGAAUAAGAUCCUCUCCAUGCUGCCCAUCGGGGCGCGGCAAGUCCAACAGCUCCAGUUGUGGAUUCCCUCACUGGCUGGCUUUGGAGCAGGAGCAGCAGGUCUGGGGCUGUACGUGACAGACUGGAAGGCUGUUUGUCAAUUUAUUCCCUUCUAUGGUGGCCGCUUCAAGGAGGAGGCGGAGGAGUAAGAGGCCCUGAGGAUCACCACUUCAGCUGGGUGGCCUAGUCAUGCAGAAAUAUGGCUCACCAUCAUCAUGUAAGAUGUAAUGUUUGGAAAGCAACCAUUUCCAUGCUGCGUAUGUGCAUAUGUAUAAAGUCAUCAGUAAGUUAAUAAAGUAUUUGAUAUACAA